UCCAGAAGAGGGCACCAGAUCUCAUUACAGAUGGUUGUGAGCCACCAUGUGGUUGCUGGGAAUUGAAUUCAGGACCUCUGGAAGAGCAGUCAGUGCUUUUAACCUCUGAGCCAUCUCUCCAGCCCAAGACCCUUCUUUCUUAUACAGCCUUACUAAUAUUAUAGACUCCUAACUUCUUACCUAACCACUUCUAGGAAUGUAGAUUGAGCACAUAAAUUCCCUUUUUGAUAUACUAACCCAUAUUAGCUCUCAGUUGACCUCAUCCUUUAACCACUCCCUUUUGGGUUGUAAAAGAAAUCCUGGCUGGAGAGGUGGCUCGGUGGUUAAGAGCACUGGCUGCUCUUCCAGAGGUCCUGAGUUCAAUUCCCAGCAACCACAUGGUGGCUCACAAGCAUCCAUAAUGAGAUCUGAUGCCCUCUUCUGGUAUGCAGGCAGAACACUAUAUACAUAAUAAAUAAAUAAAUCUAAAAGAAAGAAAUCCUGACAGUCACUGCCUGAGGAAAACUCUUACCUGCCUUUAUGACCGUGUAGGAAUUCAAGCCUGGUGACCUUGCUCUGCCAGAGGAUUGCUAUUGCUUGGGAUUAUAACUGAAUACCUCAGAGAUUUGGACAGAACUGAGAGAUAUAAGGAGACUGAGAGGAUUUUGACUAGAGAACUUGAGAAUGAGAUGGAAGAUGAGAAAGAGAUGGGUAAGAACGAGAUAAGAAGGACCUAGAUGAGGUGGAAUUAAGAUGAGAGAAUUAAGAUAAGACUUAGAGGGGACAGUAGAUAAAUAUAGUGAGAAAUCAGGCAAGAAAGGAGCUAGGCAUGAGAACAGAACUGAAGCUGUGUAGACAGAAUUUUAUCCCAGAGGAAUAAAGUAGUCGGAUUAAGAGCUUGGUGUACUUCGAUUCUUUUCCUGAAAAUAAUUCUCACUGUUCCAUAGUUUCUCUUUUAGGCACCUGGGAUUUCCAACCUUGCCGAGAAGGGGUGGGAUGGGGUGGGGCAGCUAGCCUGGACCGAAAGCUGUUUUCCCAGGCGGUCUCCCAUCCAAGUACUAACCAGGCCCGACCCUGCUUAGCUUCCGAGAUCAGACGAGAUCGGGCGCGUUCAGGGUGGUAUGGCCGUAGACGACGGGGCCCGGCGCCGGGAGCCUCAAGAGCCUGGCCGCUGCGCUCAGCUCCUCGGCUCGCCUGCUUGCCGCACACUCCGAGCCCAGCUCCCCCACCCACCGCCCCUGAGCCCGGCUCGAGCCACACCCCUCCGCACCGGGACAGCCAACUCGGCCCUCCUCAGCCCUCCGCCCUCUGCCCGCGUCCCUGGCCCCUGGCCCCUGGCCCCUGGCCCGUGGCCCGCAGCAGGGGCCCAGGGCCGGCAGUGGCCAGCGUUUUCUCCCCGGACCUUCUCCUCUCCCGUUCCUCAUCGGCCGGCCGGCCGGCCGCACUCACCGGGCCCUCCCGGGCCCCUGGCAGGUUGGCUGGCCCGCAAGCCUGCUCCUCCCUCUCCCCGGGCCUCGGGCGGGCGGCUCCGGUGUGCACGCGCCCGCACCUCCCGCUCCCCCGGUCGGGUUUCCACGGCUGCGGGCUCUGACGCCUCGGGACCUUGCUUCCGGGGCAGGGUCUGCCUUGGGUCCCCGACUCGCCCGCCCCAGCCGGGGAUCUUGCCAGGUAGCCAGCCCCUGGCCUUUGGGGCGGGUUAGAGCCCUCCUCUGACCCGCCGGCCACUUCCGUGCCCGUGGGGGUCCUGGUGGGGAGGUGGAGGUCGGAGGGUGGGGAGGUGGCCUCCGGGGGUGGGGGUGAGGGUGGGAGGAGGGGUUCGUGGCCCUGCCCGGGCUGCUGCGCUCUGAUGCUUUCUUUCCUGGCUUCCUGGGGAGGGGAGAUGCCCAGGUAGGCGCAGGCAAGGCGGCGGGAUCGUGAUCGUGCGGGUCAUCCAUCCGCCGAGACGGGGUGGACACCCUCCUGACGCUGCUCCCCCGAGUAGGUAUACCUAAGAAGGAUGGAAUGCUGUAGUGGCAGAGUUGAUGUGAGUUUUUGACCAUCCUGGGCUAUAGAGUAAGUAUCUCAAACAAACAGGAAGCAUUCCCACGUAACCACAAAGGAAAAAGAUACAAAAUAUACAGUUAAACACAAUAGAAAAAUCACAGUACAGGUUGUGAGGGGGAAGCUAUCAGUUAUAUAGUAAGAAAACAAAUGGGAUCCAGUGAUUUAUGUCUCCGUGCUGUUAAGGGAACUGGCUGCAAUCCCCAGCAACCAUGCAGCAGCUCACCUCCAUCUCUAACUAUCUAGUUCCAGGUGAUCCAGUAACUUUUUCUGACUUACACAGGCAUCGGGCACAUAAGUGGUACAGAGACAUACAUUCAGGCAAAUAUUCAUAUACACAAAAUAAAUUAAAAUAAAAAAUGCAAAUGCAAAAGCGAGUUCUUCCUACUCAGUUAUAAACAGAUGACUGGCAGAAUGGGUGGCGUCUCACAAGCAGACUGUCCACUGCCCACAAGAGAACCGCUUUAGGGGUUGUAGAGAUGGCUCAGUGAGCAGAGAGGGACUUGCCCUCAUACCUGAUAGCCUGCACUGGAUACCAAGGACCCACAUGAUGGAAGAAGAGAACUGACUCUGAAAAACUGCCCUCUGACUUCCUCAUGCACACUAUUGCACUUGUAUACCCGCUCUAACCACAAGACAAUACGAACUCAAAUUUUAAAAAAUCACUCUAGAUUCAGAGACAUUAAUAAUUUAAGGUGAAAAAAAUAAAAAAAGAUACCCACAAAAACAGUGACCAAAAGAGAGCUGAAUAGAUAUCCUGGCAUUAUAAAAACAUAUACUUUAGAGCAGAGAUGAUCACUUGAGACAAAGAAGGACAUCAAACAUAAAUGAAGUACUUGAUCUGAAAGGAUUAGCAGUCAGUUCUGCAUUUGUUGCUGGAGACUUCCAUGACUUCCUUUUCCUUGUUCCUGUCUUUAUUUUUUUUUCUCUUGUAUGUAUAUCUAUGCACCACAUACGUGCAAUGUCCCAGGCAACCAGAACAGGGCAUCGGACCCCCUAGGAUUGGAUUUACAGACAGUUGUGCACUGGUAUGUGGGUGCUGACUAGGUCCCCUGGAAGAGCAGUCAGUGCUCUUUUUUUUUAAUUACUUAUUUUAUUUUAUGUGUGUGGGUGUUUUGCCUGCAUGUAUGUGCAGCAUGUACAUUAGUGCCUAUAGAAUCCAGAAGAAGGCAUUAGAUCCCUGAGUUACAGUUGUGAGCUGACCUGUGGGUGCUGGGAAUCAAACCAGGGUCCUGUGGUAGAGCAACCGGUGCUCUUAAUCCCUGAAUCAUCUCUCCAGCCCCAUCUUCUUCUCUAAAGAUUUUUAUUUUAUUUUGUGUGCAUUGGAGUUGUCCUGCAUGUAUCUCUGUUUGAAGGUGUCAGAUCCUCUGAAACUGGAGUUACACAGUUGUGAGCUGCUAUGUGGGUGCUGGGAAUUGAACUUGGGUCCUCUGGAAGAGCAGUCAGUGCUCUUAACCACUGAACCAUUCUCCAGCCCCCAGUCAGUGCUCUUAACCACUGAGCCAGCUCUCUAGCUUAGUUUGUCUUAUUAUUGUAUAUUUGUUUGUGACAAGAUCUCAUUAGUUAGCCCUCAAGCUGUCAAUCCUCUUGCCUUAGCCUCCCAAGUACUGGAAUCACAGGCAUGAACCACCAUCCCUGCCUGUUCAAUGUUCUUUUUUUUUCCUUUCUUUUUCAUUCAUUCAUUCUUUCUUUCUUUUCUUCCUUCCUUCCUUUCUUUCUUUUCUUUCUUUCUUUCUUGAGACAAGGCUUCUCUGUAGCACUGACUGUCCUGGAACUCAACUCUGUAAACCAGGCUGGCCUCGAACUCACAGAGAUCCUCCUGCCUCUGCCUCCCAAGUGCUGGAAUUAAAGGUGAGCACCACCACUACCACCUGGCCAGUGCCCUUACUGCUGCAUGCCACAGGAUUAUACAGUGAGAUCUCAGCUGUUAUUUAAAAGGUCAACCCAUCAGAAACAUGGAUAUUCUGAUGGAGUGAGCAAGGCAUAUUGGAAUUACUGCCUUUUGAAUGAAUUGGCUGUUUCUUGCUGUAGAUUUCUUGUGUGAAGCCAUAAGCUCCUUCCCACCAUUACAACUUUGGGGUUUAUUCCCAUAGCCUUAGCAGUGUAUUAAUCAUUUAUUGGGCACACACAUAUCCAUGGAUGGUCAGGAAAGAUGACUUCUCAUUAGCUGUACAAUUUUGAUAUAUAGAAAAUAUACUAGGAUGUAGCAGGAAUCUUAAAGAAUCUUAUUAAUAAAAACAAACCUGAAGCCAGGUAUUGGGGUGAAUGCUGGAAGAUCAGAGAAGUAGAGCAAGCCACAGCUAACCUCACCUGGCCAACUUCUCAGCUGAUCUUGUUUCCUCAGACUGGAAGCCUCUGUGUCCUCAUAUCCGAAUGGCUCUCAGCUGAACUGUGCUGCUCAAAACCUAAAAGCUUAUCCAGCCAAAUGCUUCUAGUUUCUGGUCUUCACGCCUUAUAUAUCUUUCUGCUUUCUGCCAUCACUCCCUGGGAUUAAAGGCUCACUUUCUGGGAUUAAAGGCAUGUGUCACCAUGCUUGUCGUAUCCUUAUGGCCUUGAACUCACAGAGAUACAGACAAAUUUCUGCCUCUGGAAUGCUAGGAUUAAAGGCAUGUGCUACCACUGCCUAACCUCUAUGUUUAAUAUUGUGGCUGUUCUGUCUCUGACCCCAGAUAAGUUUAUUAGAGUGCACAAUAUUUUGGGGAACACAAUACCACCACACUAGGACAUGCUUCAUAGCCAGAUCUAUUGUCCCACGAGACUGCAGACACUUAAAGCCUGCCUUGUGCCUUUUACUCAGACUAACAAAAAUAACAAUCUCUCCUCAGUCUAACACAAACUGCACACGUUUGGCUCAUUUUUACCAGUCUGGCCAGUCUUAUUCCUGGAAACUUGGAACCUUGUGUUGCCAUGGUUAAUGGCUCUGCUCCUUAUCGCUUAUGCUAGGAAUGUGAUUUUGACCAAUGAGAGGUAACUCUUGUAAUUUUUUUUAUUAUUGCUUCAAGCCUCCUAAGAAGAAAUGUAUUUAGGCAAAUGAAGAAGCUAGGAAAAAUUAGGAACUAGAAUAGGAACAGAGAAUUAGAGCUAAGAAAUUAUAGACCAUUAGGAUAAGAGAAUUAGAAGUAAGACAACAAUAAGGAGACAUGUGUGAGCGGAUUCUUUCCUUUGCCCUCAGAUCUUUAGGUUUCCUAUGUUUGCUGUCAUGUCUUUUCUGGACCCUGAUACCCUAAGUAAUGAUUGAGAAGUGACAGAGAUGGUGAACCACAGAAGAAACCAGCUAAACUUUAUAUAUAUAUAUAUACACGCAUAUCAAGUAACCAAAACUGUUCUACCGUAAGUUUCAAGAACACUUUUCAAAACAAAAAAAGUAUGGUGGGUUGUUUUUUGGGGUGUGUGUGUGGGGGGUAGUCCUGGCUGUCCUGGAACUUGCUCUAUAGACCAGGUUGGUCUCAAAUUUAGCCAUCUGCCUGCCUCUGCCUCCUGAGUGCUGGAAUUAAAGGUGUAUAUCAUCAUGCCUGGCUUUGGGUUGCUAUGUUUUUUGUUUCUUUGCUUUUAGAUUUAUUCUUUUUGUGUGUGUGUGAGUGUUUUCUCUGCAUGUAUGUAUAUAAACCACUUACAUGCCUGGUGCUCAUAGGGGUCAGAAGAGAGCAUCAGAUCCCCUGGAACUGGACUUAUAAAGGGAUGCUGGGAACCAAACUCAAGUCCUCCUGAAGAACAAAAAAUGUGCUUAAUCACUGAGCCAUCUGUUUAGUCUUCAAGAACCCCUUCUGAACAAAUACAUUUUUCUUAAGUGUAUAUGGGUCAUAAAUCUUUAUAUUUAUUUGCUUUUGAUCUAGGGACUGAAUCUAGGGUCUUGUGAUGCUAGGGACAUGCUUUUCUUUCUUUCCCCCCUCCCCCGAAUUUUUUUUAGUCUGCUCCAGGCACAUGCUUUUCAACUGAGCUACAUCCCCAUUUGUUUUUUUUGUUUGUUUGUUUGUUUUUUUUUUUUGUUUUUUGUUUUUUUGGUUUUUCGAGACAGGGUUUCUCUGUGUAGCUUUGCGCCUUUCCUGGAACUCACUUUGGAGACCAGGCUGGCCUCGAACUCACAGAGAUUCGCCUGGCUCUGCCUCCCGAGUGCUGGGAUUAAAGGCGUGCGCCACCACCGCCCGGCUACAUCCCCAUUUGUAAGUAUGAAUUUUGUGUACUUAUUUAGUGGAUGGUCUAGAACUAGCUAUGUAGACCAUUAUACCGUCUCUACCACAAUAUGGUAGUAUUAAUAGGUGGGGACUUUAGGAGGUGAUUAAGGCUGUAGAAGGCAUAAUCAUCUCCUCCCACCACUCAAGGACACAGUACUCCUUCCAGCAGGAGAAGGCAGCAAGGUCUCUUAGAAACUACAAAGAAACUUAGAGACCUUCACCAGACACCAAAAUUUCAGCCCCUUGAACCAUGAUAAAUAAAUUUGUGUUGUGUAUAA